rnacentral:rRNA from 1 species
ACUCAAAUGAAUAGACGGGGACCCGCACAAGCAGCGGAGCGUGUGGUUUAAUUCGACGCAACGCGCAUGACCUCACCCAGGUUUGACAUGCAGCUGCAAUCUUCUGAAAGGGAGACGCCUUCGAGGGUGCUGCACAGAUGCUGCAUGGCUGUCGUCAGCUCGUGUCGUGAGAUGUUGGGUUCAGUCCCGCAACGAGCGCAACCCCUGCGGCCAGUUACUUGUGUCUGGCCGGACUGCCCUUCGGGGAGGAAGGCGGGGAUGACGUCAAGUCCGCAUGGCUCUUACACCUGGGGCCACACACACGCUACAAUGGGACGGACAAUACGUCGCGAACCGGCAACGGUGAGCAAAUCGCUAACCCGUUCCUCAGUGCAGAUCGGGGGCUGAAACUCGCCCCCGUGAAGGCGGAGUUGCUAGUAACCGCGCAUCAGCAGUGGUGCGGUGAAUACGUACCCGGGUCUUGCACACACCGCCCGU